GUCUUUGCCCUCAACUACUCAAAAGCAGUUUUCAAGGUGCUGACCAAGUCAAAGUCUAAGGCAGCCUGACUGCAAGAUGCUCUGUUGUCAUCCGAGGUUCCUGCAGGGUCAGAUCCAUCCAGAUCUGUAGGAGCAGGCGACUGUUUUAGAAAGAAAAGGCAAAACCUUCCCCUGGAACUAGCUCAUGCUGCCUUUGGAAAGAUUUCAUUUCAUUGACGAGCUGCUUUUCCUGUGUCCAAGAAGACCAUGGGGAAAUUGGUUGAUGCCAGGAUUGUUGCUCAGCAGCUGAAGCAAAGCAGUCAAGCUUUACUCUAUGCUGGUGAGGAGGAUGUAAUUCUUGUUGCUUUUUACUCCAUGGAAACAGCCUUCAAUCACCCUGAAGGCUGAAGCAUUGGCGGUGGGAGAGGGAAGACGUGAAUGCCAUGGAAACCUCUCUGCUUCACUGAGGAAGCACCGUGGUGUUUUUGAUUUUACUCCUAGGUGUGUGCAGUGGGUCAUCCCAUAGCAGCAACUAGAGGUUUUGUUCUAGUUUUGGGAGCGGAAUCUGUGUCUGAAGGCACUUGUGUUUUUUCUUGUUCCUUCCCUGCCACCCACCCUCUCCUUCCCUGAUGCAAAGUGAUGUUUACUGAGCCCUACCACCCUGGACCAGGGCUA